rnacentral:rRNA from 1 species
UACGUAGGUGGCAAGCGUUAUCCGGAUUUAUUGGGCGUAAAGGGAACGCAGGCGGUCUUUUAAGUCUGAUGUGAAAGCCUUCGGCUUAACCGGAGUAGUGCAUUGGAAACUGGGAGACUUGAGUGCGGAAGAGGAGAGUGGAACUCCAUGUGUAGCGGUGAAAUGCGUAGAUAUAUGGAAGAACACCAGUGGCGAAAGCGGCUCUCUGGUCUGUAACUGACGCUGAGGUUCGAAAGCGUGGGUAGCAAACAGG